CGAGAACGGAUUGUUGACAAAAUU
rnacentral:rasiRNA from 1 species